UACGUAGGGUGCAAGCGUUGUCCGGAAUUAUUGGGCGUAAAGAGCUCGUAGGCGGUCUGUCGCGUCUGCUGUGAAAACCUAGGGCUUAACUCUGGGCGUGCAGUGGGUACGGGCAGGCUAGAGUGCGGUAGGGGAGACUGGAACUCCUGGUGUAGCGGUGAAAUGCGCAGAUAUCAGGAGGAACACCGGUGGCGAAGGCGGGUCUCUGGGCCGUAACUGACGCUGAGGAGCGAAAGCAUGGGGAGCGAACAGG
rnacentral:rRNA from 1 species